GAUGGAUGCUGCUGUCCGGCCCCUGGGCUGGGGGAGGGAGCAGGCGCUUUGGACCCCAGCCCCCCAACUUUGAUUCCCGCUGGGAAUUCGGGCCCUGCCGGGCUGUAGAUCCUCUCGGGAGCCCUCUGCCUGCCCUACUGCUGGCCUAGGCCUCGGGCAGUCUGGCGACCGCAACUCAGCGCUGACCUGGGGCCCAACCCAGUCAGGCUUCGCGUACUUCAGGGGUUCUAGGCUAACUGGGGGAAGGAAGGGCGUUGGGACCGAGGGGCAUCCUGGUUUUUAUGUGGGCCCAGAGAGGCCACCAGACUCAUUUUCUGAACCGCAGGUCUCCCUUCCCUACCCCCAGCUCCUUGCUUGUCGGCCUGGGAGCCCUUGCUUUGAGAAGCUGGAAGAAGCUGCAAAGGAGCGAGAGUACCCCAGACUUCUCUAUCGGAUGUCAGUCUCGAGCUGAACAGCGGAAUGGCAGAAUUUCAAAGUGCAUUUGAGGACUUCCCCACCACCAACACUAGACACGAGAUUUGAGAGGCGCAACACUUUACCAGCCAUUUGACCAAUUAAUUGUUUGAGGGAAAUUUCCCUGUAGUAGUUUAAAAUAAUGCACACAACCCAGGGAUGAGGACUGACAUUCAUAUUGGGAUUACACAUGAAUUUCAACUGUGUUUGUUUGACAGGCCCAAGAGUCAAAAUCCUCCAAAUAAAGAAACAAGCACUCUAAAAGCAAUAA